UUUCUUUUGGCUCAGUCAGUAGAGCAUUGCGCUAAUAAUACAAAGGUUGAGACUUCAAACCCCAGGGAACU